AGAAUGUUGAAAAGCUGGAGCUGGAGCCUGCAAUAGAGGAAAUGUGUUUAAGAGAGCUAGAAGACUGGAAACGAGGAGGAACCGGGAGAGGACCAUGAAAAGACCCAGAAGCUGAACUUAGGGAUGCAAACUGCAAACUGUGCUGGGCUUGGGCAAAGAAACAGUCAGGAAUAAGUAAGCUAAAGAAAGUUGCUAUCCCCAAGUUUCAGAAAGAGAAAGUACUAUCUGGAAUAAAGAGUAUGCAUGAAAGAGUCUUUCCUUUGGAAUUAGUUUCUGGAUUGCAGAUGCUUUUCUCAUCUUGUGCCAUACAGCUGUUACAGCCAGUCUGUCUCUUCUCACCAAGAGGUUGAGACAAUGCAUGUCAGAACCUCACCCAUCACUUGUGCCACAGCUAAAGAGAUUGCACUUGACUUUAGCACCUUGAAGGAAUGCACGUUGAUCUUCCAAUGUGUUCUUCUGUUGACUAAUAAUGGCACUUGCAUGUAGCUGUGUACACAAUAGCUUCUGACUACAGCCGUAGACUCUGAUGAUUUGCUUUUAAGCAAGAAAACAAUGUUCCCUUUCACUGUAGAGCCUUCCUCUCUGAGCUAAUGUUUAAUAAAG